rnacentral:lncRNA from 1 species
AACUUACUCCCUCCGUCCUAAACUGUAAGUCAUUUCAAAAAUUUUGGAAAGUCAAAGCAUCUUAAGUUUGAUUAAAAUUAUAGAGAAAAAUAUAAAGAUUUAUAACAUCAAAUAAAUAUACUAUGAAAAUAUAAUUAAUAAAAAUCUAAUGAUACUUAGCUAACAUCAUAAAUGUUAUUAUAUUAUCAUAUAAAUUUGGUCAAACUUAAGAUACUUUAACUUUUCAAGAUUCUUAGAAUGACUUACAAUGUGGAACGGAGGGAGCAGAUAUUAUUUGUUAAAUGGAUCAUCACAUGACAUAUCGUGGCGCCGACUUGCUUACUAGCCGCACCGCGCUAGAGUCGUUCGACCGUCUCUUCCCGGUGCUUACGCGAGGACUUGCUCCGGCACGCCGCCACCGGCGCUCCCCGUCCUCGGGGCCGCAGGGAUCCCGACCGUGGUGCAGGAUGUCACCGUGCCUCUCCUCAGGCCACGACCCGCCGCCACUUCUUGCCGCGGGGAAGCCGGCUGAGGCACGAUGCGCCGCCCCCAUAGCCACCAUGGCGUCCCAUGCCCCGGGCCGCAGUCUGCGUCGCUCGCUCGGAGCCUUCCGUGUCCGGCCGACAGCUUGAAGCGAGGAGCUCGGCGGCGGCGGCACCAGCCCACAACUCCCGUGCGGGGACCUCGCUGUUUUCCGCCAGCUCGACGUGGGGACCUCGUCGGCCCGGCAGCUCCCUACGCCCCCGUUCGGCUAUGAACAGCGACAGGCAUCCACACCGCCUCGAGACCCACGAGGCCGCGCGGCUUCUGCGCCCUCCUCGCCGUGUUGGGAGGCCGCGCGCCUUCCUCGCCGUGUAGGGAGGAAGGCCGUCGGAUCUGAACGCCUCCGCGCCGCGCUGCGCUUGGCGGCUGCGGCUUCUCCCGCGUGCCACAGCCGUCGCGCGCACCGUCGUCGAGCUGCCCCGCCACCAGAUCUGCGGCAAGCCCCGGCCCUGAGUUGCGUCGAACUAGGCGGCGCCAUCCCUCGGGCAUGGUUAUUCGGUCAUCAAACCGGUUCAAUGGUUUAUUGGUUCAACUGCUAAGAACCGGUUGAACCGCCGGUUCAAUAUUUGUAGACCGGGUGAGUGAACCGUCUUAGACACUAAGAACCGGGGUACAUAGAGAGAGAUUUGACAAUUGGCAAUAAUAUAAAUUAGUCACAUGUAAAACAAGAUUAAU